rnacentral:rRNA from 1 species
GACGAACGCUGGCGGCGUGCCUAAUACAUGCAAGUAGAACGCUGAAGCUUGGUGCUUGCACCGAGCGGAUGAGUUGCGAACGGGUGAGUAACGCGUAGGUAACCUGCCUGGUAGCGGGGGAUAACUAUUGGAAACGAUAGCUAAUACCGCAUAAGAGUAGAUGUUGCAUGACAUUUGCUUAAAAGGUGCAAUUGCAUCACUACCAGAUGGACCUGCGUUGUAUUAGCUAGUUGGUGAGGUAACAGCUCACCAAGGCAACGAUACAUAGCCGACCUGAGAGGGUGGUCGGCCAACCUGGGAAUGAGACAAGGCCCAGACUUCUAAGGGAGGCAGCAGUAGGGGAUCUUCGGCAAAGGGCGGAAGUCUGACCGGAGAACGCCGGGUGGGUGAAGAAAGGUUUCGGAUCGUAAAGCUCUGUUGUAAGGGAAGAACGAGUGGGGGAGUGGAAAGUUCACGCUGUGACGGUACCUUAUCAGAAAGGGACGGCUAACUACGUG